GAACAUGGCUAUGAAUCAGUUCAUUUAGGAGGACAAGUGUCCUUUCCCACCCUGGAGGAGGAGCAUAUGAAGAUAAUCAACAGUGAUGGAGGCCAAAAGUGAGACUGUGGCAGGAGGGAAUCACUGCCAACUGCUUACUCCCUGUUAGUCAGUCUUGUUCUUUUGAAGAGUGGGAAGCGGGACUACCAAGACUCCUCCUCCCCAGCUUUUGGGCCGUCCUGGCAGCUGCCCAAGGAGGGUCCGCAGCGACUUCUCCUGCUCCGACGGUGCAUGCGGAUGAGGUUGAGGAUGACACUGAAGUUGCAGGCGAGCACCGCGACGAUGAGGAGCAGCAGCACGGUGGCGUAGAACUGCAGGAAGAUAAACUAGGAGGGCGGGACCCAAAUUAGGAGGAAGUGAAAAGCUCGCCUGGUUGUCCAAGGAACCAAACCUUGCCACCGCUGAGCUGUUGCCCUGCUGCUUUGAUUCGGUUGCCAGCAUUUCGCCUUUUCCUAUGUCGACACCAUAACGGAUAACCACUUGUUUAAGCAAGCCAGAAAAGAAAGAAAGAAAAAGAAAUGUUCCUUGUGUGUAGAAUUGUUUGUGAACACAGCUUGAAAUCAUUGCUCAUUGUACUCUCGUCAAGCACAAUCUUGAAAGAAGCUCUUGUUCAGGAUUAAUUCUUUCAGGUUAACGGUGCAGAGCACAUCUGGAAAGACGGAUUCCUUGUAAAACUUAUUAGUAAGUGGCCAGUUUUAGAAACUAGAGCUGACAAAAGUGGUUGUCCGCCACCCCCACUGUCACAAUCGCAGACACCUGAAAAUGGACUGGUGUUUAAAACUGUUUGAACAAACAAAAUCCAGUGUGACAGACAAAGGGGGGUAAUUGCAUUCUGUAAGGAAGGGCAUAUUCACGUGGGGAAGGAGGAAGGACUGGGAGAUGGAAGGAUCUGCAUAGGGAAUAAGCAAGGGGUAAAAGUCCUCAUGGUGGAAUAACGAAAACAUUAGGUGCUGAAGAGCACAUCUUACCACAGCCUGCUUGCUCUCCAUGAAUAUUUUAGCUCACCUUGAUAACUCUAGCCUCGGGACUGGAAUGGAGAUGAGGCUCCCAACAGGGCAAGUUCAAAGGGAGUCUACUUUUCUCAUAUAAGAAGUUCAACAGUCACAGGCGGCUGAGCCUCCCAGAGAACCCAGUCUCUUUUGAUCUCUAGCCCUUCAUACCUAGCAUGCUGUCUACAUGUCCUUCCGUGUGUAGUCACCAGUCACUGCUCAGAUUGGUUGGGAUGCAACCAGAGAAACAGAACCACUGUAAGUGAUGAAGAAUGAGAGAUUUAUUAUUAGGCACUAGACCUGCGCUUUUCAAUAUGGUAGCCACCAGCCACAGGUGGCAGUUUAAAUUUAGAUGAGUCAAAAUUAACAGUGUAGUUUCUCAAUUGCACUAGGUACA